CCGCCGCCGCCAGUGCCGCCAGCGACUGCCUGGGCGAGGGUGGUCAGAUCCGGCGGGGUGGUCCGUCUCGGCGCCAUCUUCAGGAUCCCUUCAGUCUCUCUCCUCGUCGCCGGGCGCCCUUGCUGGGUCGACGAGCCAGCCUCCGCCCGCCAUUGCCGCGCCAGCGAUCCAUCCGCCGCCUGCCAUUACCGCACGGACGAGCCAGCCGCCGCCCGCCAUUGCCGCACGGACGAGCCAGUCGCUGUCCGCACUUGCUGCACCGGACACUCCCCCAUUCUUUCCCCACAUCAACGCCAGCCAGGAGCGAGUGAGAUCAGCUCUUGUUGCCGCCAUCUGAUGGUUGUCGUCGUGAUCUUCGGCUGCGGUGGUGCACUUCCUUGUGUAUAACGAGACAGUGGGGUUGUCACCCCAUAAUCUUGGUGUCGGCUCCCACGACUGCCUUCUUGGUUACCACCACUCAGAUGGAUAGACGUUGGAUUCAUGGUACAUUGUUUUCCCGUGAGUACAUCGAAGGUGUCAAAGAAUUUAUGAACUUCAUUCAAGAGAAAUUCAGCGAGGAUGAUAAAAUACUUUGCCCAUGUAGAAAAUGCCUUAAUCAUCACUACCAGCAUCGGACCGUUGCGAACACGCACAUACUGACGUAUGGCAUGGAAAGUACGUAUACUCGCUCGAUAUAUCAUGGAGAAGACUUUGAUGUAGAUGUUAUUGAACAUCCUGUUGAUGUGCAUGAUACCGAAGAUGGUGACAAUGGCGCUGACCGGUUUGAAGAGAUGUUUGAAGACCUACGCACAACCGUAGAACAAGCUCAGAGUGAAACUGAAAAUCAAGAUGCUAACAAUGGUGGAAACCCUUCUGAGAAUGAGUCUUUUUUGAAGAAUGUGAUGAAGGAGGCAAAAC